UCUUUAAUAAACAACCAACGGCGAGAAACAACCGAUCAAAUCAUUACAUUAUUCUAAAUUUCAAAUCACUGAUCUGAUUGGAAACCCAUUAGACUAGAACUACCUGUAUCACUGAUGCUGCUGAGAUCUUUACAAAUCCUGACAAACUCAGAUGAAGGCAUCCGAACAAUGCGCUUUUUUGGAGCUUCUUGGAAAAAGUGCGUCUCGGGUAACAUAAGGCGCCAGCACUUGCGCCUUAGUGCACCUCAGGCGUGCUUUUUAAUACCAUGGUCCGAACCUAAAAAUAAGCUUGUGCAGUAAACGAGCCUGAACCCGAGUUCAAUUAUCGAGCUCGCAAGCCUAAAGGAAUCUAUUAUUUGUGUUAUUUGUAUUUAAUAUAUUAAUUAUUAAUUAAUAAACGAGCCGAGCUCGAGCUUUGAAAACUUUGUUUUAACAUAUCUGGCUAGACGGUGUGGGCUUCGUCCCACCCCGUCGUGGCCCGGCGCCGCUCGGCCACCCAUUUCUCCCCUCCCCGUUGUCGUCGUGGAGCCUAGGACAAUUGAGACACUCCACAAAAGACAAAAACCGUUCGAAUCGCACGAUUAUUCGUAAUCUAUCUUCGUUCCUUGUAACCUAGGGUUUGUAAUUUGUUGAUUUCAGAAAAUUAGGUUUAAUCUUCGUUUUUCGUCAGCGAAUUUGUAUUUUUAGAGGUUGAAUUCGAGGUAUAUACGAUUAAGCCUCUGUUUUGUUCGAUCGAUUGUGUUUCUAGGGUUUGAAUUUUGCAAUCGAGAUGCUGGAUCAGUCACAGAUGAUGAAUCAUUCGCAGUUGAUGAGUCAAUCACAUUCACAGCAGAUGAUGUUAAUGAAGUGGUCAAGCUUCAGCGGUGGUUCCCCGUGUCAUUGAGCAGGAAAUGGUCCGGAGUAGGGAAAUUUACUGGAAAGCUCAUUAUAAAGUUCAUUAUCGGUUACGCACCUGUAUGGCAUGAAAAGGAGUAUUACCUUGGAUGUGUCUGUGACGAGCUCUACGCCCCUCCAAGUGCCUACUUUUCAUUGUAUGUUUUUUUUCUAGAGGAGCAUCGUUUUAUGCAGGUAAGUUGAAAUGUUACAUUUUGGAUCAACCUUUACUACUAUAUCUUUCAGCGCGAUAUGGUUGAUUACAUCUAACGAAGUGGUGUGCGUAAAGGUGUAUUUGAGAAAAUAGGUGUGGAACCACAGGCGUGGAGGAUUGGUAAAUAUAAGAGUUUCGGUGAUCAGUUUACUCGCAAUAAUAUAUCUAAAGAAAAUCGUGAGGUUCUUACUACAAUUCUUGAUAAUAUAUAUGAAAAUUGGGUCGAUAAGAUUUCUCAAGCCAAAGGAAAGAAAAAGGAAGAAAUCGAGAGUUUUAUUAACGAAGGAGUUUACCAAAUAGAUAAGUUGAAAGAAGAUGGAUGGAUAACAGAUAUCAACAAAUAUGAUGAUGAGGCUAAAUCUAUGUUGAAAACAAGAUUGUGCAUUGCUAAGAAGAAAAAACUUCCACUUAUUGAUUACAAGUGAAUAUCUCCUUAUGUAGUCUUUUAUUUUGACGAAGUUUGUUGCAGUUAAGUUCAAUAUGAGAAACUAUAUGAAAAUGAUGCAGGUGGUUUGAAGUUGUAGCAAAAUAUUUACCAAUUAUCAUAGUCUUUGUUUUGUAUUGUA